UGAACACAUGCAUGCAUGGUACUUAAUCACUAACAUUUUUAAGGGUAUUGGAUAACUUGUCUUUCUGAUGUGUUUGACAUUGGCAUGGAUGAUGUUUUUUCUUUUUUUCACAGACUUUUCAGAGAUGAAUAAUGUUUUUUCUUAAAAGCAGUUGUUUGAGCGGCAGUGUCUUUCAGCUGGUCUUGUUUGUGUCAAUAAAUGUCUGUUGUUUAUGUUACUAUUGGUAACUGAUCAGUGGAAGAAAUGUUAAUCAGCAAAUGGAGAGUCCUGGAAUGAUAAGCCUUUCAACCUCUGAUUUGGUUCCUCUCAGCUUUGUGGAAUAAAGGCCAUGGAGUCCUGUUCAAAGUCUCCAGAAAAGCUACACUGUCAGUGUCUUCAGGCAGAUUAACCAGUCCUAUCAUUUAGUAACUUCAAUGAAAGUCGCCGCACGUUUUUGUCCUGGAUUUCUUGAGAAUCCGUUGGAGAGAGAAGUGAAAUCCGUAUUUAAAAGGCUGUGGAACAUUGUGCAUCUAAAGUACUCAGCAAGUUAUUCCCUAAAGCACUCCAUAUGAU